GAUGAACGCUGGCGGCGUGCCUAACACAUGCAAGUCGAACGAAGCACCUUACCUGAUUCUUCGGAUGAAAGUUUGGUGACUGAGUGGCGGACGGGUGAGUAACGCGUGGGUAACCUGCCCUGUACAGGGGGAUAACAGCUGGAAACGGCUGCUAAUACCGCAUAAGCGCACGAGGAGACAUCUCCUUGUGUGAAAAACUCCGGUGGUACAGGAUGGGCCCGCGUCUGAUUAGCUGGUUGGCAGGGUAACGGCCUACCAAGGCAACGAUCAGUAGCCGGUCUGAGAGGAAGAACGGACACAUUGGAACUGAGACACGGUCCAAACUCCUACGGGAGGCAGCAGUGGGGAAUAUUGCACAAUGGGGGAAACCCUGAUGCAGCAACGCCGCGUGAGUGAAGAAGUAUUUCGGUAUGUAAAGCUCUAUCAGCAGGGAAGAUAAUGACGGUACCUGACUAAGAAGCGCCGGCUAAAUACGUG
rnacentral:rRNA from 1 species